UGUCUAUCUUAUUCACUGUCUUCUCACAGAGAUAAUAUCUUCAACAUUUGGGAUGUUUUUCAAGACCUGGGAUUUCCCUGCCCUGGCUUCUAUUUGUUAGGGCCCUCUUGGACCCCGAAGAUGGCUCCUUUACUUGCAAUGUG